UGGGGAAUAUUGCACAAUGGGCGCAAGCCUGAUGCAGCAACGCCGCGUGAGGGACGACGGCCUUCGGGUUGUAAACCUCUUUUAGUAGGGAAGAAGCGAAAGUGACGGUACCUGCAGAAAAACGCACCGGCUAACUACGUGCCAGCAGCCGCGGUAAUACGUAGGGUGCGAGCGUUGUCCGGAAUUAUUGGGCGUAAAGAGCUCGUAGGCGGUCUGUCGCGUCUGCUGUGAAAACCCGAGGCUCAACCUCGGGCCUGCAGUGGGUACGGGCAGACUAGAGUGCGGUAGGGGAGAAUGGAAUUCCUGGUGUAGCGGUGGAAUGCGCAGAUAUCAGGAGGAACACCGAUGGCGAAGGCAGUUCUCUGGGCCGUAACUGACGCUGAGGAGCGAAAGCGUGGGGAGCGAACAGGAUUAGAUACCCUGGUAGUCCACGCCGUAAACGUUGGGCGCUAGAUGUGGGGACCAUUCCACGGUUUCCGUGUC
rnacentral:rRNA from 1 species